UCUUUCGCAACUUCCAUCUCUGGGUUUCAAACUAUUGUCCUGAAUUAAUUAGCUUAUAAUCUUGUUUCAGGUCUAACGUGUGUUUGUUUCUUAUGUUGAGGUUCCCAGUUCGUCUCAAGGGACCAGAGUCUUACCUUCAUCUCUCGCCCCUAAACCAAACACUGGUCAGUUGCCUGCGCCAAAAAGGUGAGGGCUUUUUAAGGAACCUGAGCAAAAGGUCUCUGUCAAUAUUUCGAUUUUAAUAACUAAUCCAGGUAACUUGUUUGCAUAAGUCUUCGUGUGAAAAUGGUUGGUAGUUUGAGACUUACUUUGCUGUUUGAGUCUUCAGUGAUGUGUAAGUACUUGUCAUUCAUUUUUUAUUACUUUAUAUACGCAUAACAAUUUGUUUGCCUUUUGGCUGCUUGAUAACUCUUUUUAUUGCCACAUCAUCUGUUUCUGCCUUUCUUGUAAACUCCUGAUGGUGUUGGACUUUAAGGUGAUUAUCUAGAUGCUGCCUCGUAGUAAUAUUUAGUUGACUGUUCCUGUCUUCUUGACAUCUUGAUUUAGAAUGAUCACGUUGGUUACCAAUCAAGCACGUGAGGGGAUGGAUGCGUUUAUAUAUUCUACGGAACAUAACUUGCAAAUACGCUGUUUUUGGUAUGAGUCUCAGAGAUUUGGGGUUUCAAUAUGUACUUGUCCUUCUUGCAGGUUGUUAUAGCAGACGAAUCACAUUUUCUUAAAAACGCUCAAGCAAAGAUGACCGCUGCUUCCCUUCCUAGGCUAAAGGUAUAUCAUUUAACAAAAGUUUUACAGAGAAGCUGCUUAUUAACAAGGUGUUUGUUCAUUGCCUUGUAACAACCAAAGCAUAUUCGUGAUACAGCAAAGGUGAAUUUUAGCUGGAUAUUAUUAUAUGUUCUUUUAUUGCUAUGUUAUAUCCUAGUGUCACGUGACAUCUCCUCCUUUUGCCUUUUAAAAUCUACACUGAUUACGCUGAAGCCGAAAUCCCAGCAGUGCUUGAGGCUGGUUGCAAAUUUCUAGUAUUUGCACAUUAUCAUUCCAUGCUUGAGGCAUUACACCAGUUUCUUAAAGUAAGGCAUUGAACUCUCAGCAAAGCCUUCCUCAAAAGCCCAUCUGUUUCUCAUACGAGUUACAAAAAAAGUUGCAGAAAAAGAAAGUGGUCUGUAUCCGGAUUGAUGGAAGCACCCCUGCCUUGGUUUCUGACUUUUAGGGAAAUGAUGAGAUCAAAGCAGCAGCGGUAAGUAUUUUCACCAUCUUUAACGUCCUCAUACCAAACCACUAUAGAAGGAAGUAAGGAACUAUAGUUUGCCUGUUAACCAUUUAUGGAUAUUGUGUGCCGUUUGUGGACAGAGCUAGCUAGCAUCAUAGUUCUUGAUUGAUACUCAAGAAAAAAAUUAUAUCAUGUGCUGCUUAACAGUUGAAGUCAUGUUGGGUGUUGAAUCGUUACUGCCUUAUCGACUUAGAUUUACCUACUUAAAGACACACGCAGCAUAAACACAACAUCUCCAACGCAUUUGUGUGGGUUAUAUUAUCUCUGUUUGAACAUUGAUUUCCCAAAUUCUUGAUGAUGUAUGAGUUAAGGAGUUAGACAAAGAAGGAUUUUUAGCAACAAACACAACCGAAGCUUUUUUUUAUGCUAUGUAACAAAAAAUGAAAGACAAAAUAGAUGUCAAUGUCUUUUUUUUUUUAAAGUAAAUAUGUUUUAUGUAUCA